UACGGAGGGUGCAAACGUUGCUCGGAAUCAUUGGGCGUAAAGCGCACGUAGGCGGACUGCUAAGUCGGACGUGAAAUCCCUCAGCUUAACUGAGGAAGUGCAUUCGAAACUAGCAGUCUUGAGUACAGGAGAGGGUCGCGGAAUUCCCGGUGUAGAGGUGAAAUUCGUAGAUAUCGGGAGGAACACCAGUGGCGAAGGCGGCGGCCUGGACUGAUACUGACGCUGAGGCGCGAAGGCUAGGGGGAGCAAAACGGG
rnacentral:rRNA from 1 species